rnacentral:rRNA from 1 species
CUGCUAAAGCGGAGGAAGGAAUGGGCAACGGUAGGUCAGUAUGCCCCGAAUAUCCCGGGCUACACGCGAGCUACGAAUGGUUGGUACAAUGGGUAUCUACCCCGAAAGGGGACGGGAAUCUCCUAAACCAAUCUUAGUUCGGAUUGAGGGCUGCAACUCGCCCUCAUGAAGCUGGAAUCCGUAGUAAUCGCGUUUCAACAGAACGCGGUGAAUACGUCCCUGCUCCUU